rnacentral:lncRNA from 1 species
UUUGGUGAAUGGGAAUUUAUCAAAAUCAGCAAGCUAGCUAAAAAUGCAAAGGAAGCCACAACAAUAGACUAGUGUGAGGAGACAAAAAUAGAUCAUAAAGUCAUAAAAAGCAAUGGCAUCUAGAUCCAGCUGAACUGAUCAACUAAUGAAACGGAAACCAAACAACCAAUUUUGACAAGCUUAUCUCAACCAACAGCACCAAUUCUAGGCCUGUA